ACUAAACAUUAGAGGCCUAAAACGGCGGAUGUCGCCGUACACAAUUGAUUGAAUAUCCGAUUAUUGUUUGAUUCGUUGUUCCAGGAAACGAUGGAUAUCAGUUGGGCCAAUCGUACCGUCAGCAGCGAGGAAACCAACAACAACCGUUUCACACUGAGCAAUCAACAGCUAAAAAGACUACCAGCACCGAUUCGGACAACAUCGACUCAGAUGAGAAGCAGCAGCAACAGCGCAGAUUGUCGGUGUGAUUCCAAUAAUACACAGUCUGUAGCAAAAACUGCACUAGCUGAUGAACGAUAUGCUACGGCGAAAGUUCCACAAUUUCAAACACAGCGUCACGACAACAUUGAUUCUACAGCAGUACUUGGGAGCCCACUAAUCCUUACAUCGUAGGAUCGGAGCGAUAUGUGUCCUAUUUGCUACACAAUUUCCUCCACAAAUCACAACUUCACGGAGCCCAACAACAGAAAAUCCGCGUCUGAGAAUGAUGGGGAGAAUCAGUUUGCGUGGUCAAUUUGCUUCAAGGCACUUCGUUGCUGGAUCGGUACAUGCUGCCUCCACUCGAACUUGGAGCGUCAUAUCAAGCAGUAACAUCUUUAAUUCUGGUCGUAUUGUCAGCGCGGAGGCAAUCAUUAGAAGCGCGGUUGGAGCAUUCGAUCGGCAAUCAAGCAAUCCGCCAAAGGGAGGAAGUAGACAAAGAUUUGAUGUUCCGCUGUCACAAGAUUAAAACGACGAGCAGGUGCUGCUGACUUCCGGCUCGGCAUGAGGCUGUGUGGAGAAUUUCUUAUUAAAUUGAAAGAACAAGUACUACCAAUUUUGAUCCACAAUGAUCAAUCAGCAUGUGACUAAACUGAGAGAUUUUUUCACUAUGCAGCUUCCAUUGGGAUUUCCAGUAAAAAUAGAAAUAACGCUGUUUCAUGUGUUGAACACGGUUAUCAUAUUUGGCAACUUAUUCGAAUAAGAGACACCCGUGACCAGCGUGAGCCCCAUCAAAGAAAGCGAGGAGCGUACGAGAAGCAUUAUCGAGGGUUACUGUUUCGAUGUCCCGUUCGAGUACGUACGACGUGGUGCCGAUUUCCGGCGUCAAAUAAUCUUCGAAGAUGAGAACGAGUUGAUGCAAUUCGCGAUCCAGCAAAAUUUCGCAAGUGUCCGAAAAAGUACACUUUCAAGUACCGUGAUACCCA